rnacentral:rRNA from 1 species
CCCUUAGAUGUUCUGGGCCGCACGCGCGCUACACUGACGAUGGCAACGAGUUUUUCCUUCGCCGAAAGGUGUGGGUAAUCUUUUGAAACAUCGUCGUGCUGGGGAUAGAUCAUUGCAAUUUUUGAUCUUGAACGAGGAAUUCCUAGUAAGCGCGAGUCAUCAGCUCGAGUUGAUUACGUCCCUGCCCUUUGUACACACCGCCCGUCGCUACUACCGAUUGAAUGGUUUAGUGAGGACUCCUGAUUGGCGCCGCCGCCCCGGCAACGGAGCAGCGGACUGCCGAAAAGUUGUUCAAACUUGAUCAUUUAGAGGAAGUAAAAGUCGUAACA